rnacentral:rRNA from 1 species
GAUGAACGCUGGCGGCGUGCCUAAUACAUGCAAGUCGAGCGAACAGACGAGGAGCUUGCUCCUCUGACGUUAGCGGCGGACGGGUGAGUAACACGUGGAUAACCUACCUAUCAGACUGGGAUAACUUCGGGAAACCGGCGCUAAUACCGGAUAAUAUAUUGAACCGCAUGGUUCAAUAGUGAAAGACGGUUUUGCUGUCACUUAUAGCUGGAUCCGCGCCGCAUUAGCUAGUUGGUAAGGUAACGGCUUACCAAGGCGACGAUGCGUAGCCGAGCUGAGAGAGUGAUCGGCCACACUGGAGCUGGGACACGGUCCAUACUCCUACGGGAGGCAGCAGUAGGGAAUCUUCCGCAGUGGGCGAAAGCCUGGCGGAGCAACGCCGCGUGAGUGAUGAAGGUCUUCGGAUCGUAAAGCUCUGUUAUUAGGGAAGAACAAAUGUGUAAGUAGCUAUGCACGUCUUGACGGUACCUAAUCAGAAAGCCACGGCUAACUACGUG